AACGAACGCUGGCGGCAUGCCUAACACAUGCAAGUCGAACGAGACCUUCGGGUCUAGUGGCGCACGGGUGCGUAACGCGUGGGAAUCUGCCCUUGGGUUCGGAAUAACAGUUAGAAAUGACUGCUAAUACCGGAUAAUGUCUUCGGACCAAAGAUUUAUCGCCCAGGGAUGAGCCCGCGUAGGAUUAGCUAGUUGGUGAGGUAAAGGCUCACCAAGGCGACGAUCCUUAGCUGGUCUGAGAGGAUGAUCAGCCACACUGGGACUGAGACACGGCCAGACUCCUACGGAGGCAGCAGUGGGAAUAUUGGACAAUGGGCGAAAGCCGUAGAUCCAGCAAUGCCG
rnacentral:rRNA from 1 species